UACAAGUACCUGUGAAGGAAAGUUGAAAAGAAUCAUAUUGAAGAGAGAGUUCAAGAGGGCGUGAAACCGUUUAGAAGUAAAGGGGUAAAGCUGCGAGGUAGCCGCAAAAAUCAGCCGGGCGAACGGUCUUUGUUUGGUAGUCUGAUGUUAAAACAGAAUACUGGACGCUAUGGCCAUAGUCUGGUGCACUUUUUGUGGCGAGCAUCGCGACUAAAGCGAAGCCCGGUGGAAGGUUGAUUUUGAAGACAGAGCCGAGUGUUCUGUGACUAAAGUCUUCUGGAUACUGGUGCCACGUUUUGGAUACCCGAGUAGUCGCCGUAAGGCUCGUGAAAGUUCGUUGGUGGGUUGGUUGAAAUGUCCGUUUCUUGCUUGCAGGAUCGGGCGACCCCUGAUUUAACAUCGGAUUUGAUCGAGAGACUACGAAGGAUCCGCGAUGUCUGAGGCGGCCGCUUACCCCACCCGUCUUGAAACACGGACCAAGGAGUCUAACAUGUGCGCGAGUUAUUGGGUGGUAAACCCAAAGGCGAAAUAAAAGUAAAUGCCGCUUACGCGGUUAUAAAUACGAUCCUCGACGAAUAAUCGAGGCGGAGUAUUGUCCCAUCUAUGCGGUUCGUCCGCUGGGUGGAGAAAGAGCGUAAAUGUUGGGACCCGAAAGAUGGUGAACUAUGCUCGAGCAGAACGAAGCCAGAGGAAACUCUGGUGGAGGUUCGUAGCGGUUCUGACGUGCAAAUCGAUCGUCAGACUUGGGUAUAGGGGCGAAAGACUAAUCGAACCAUCUAGUAGCUGGUUCCCUCUGAA
rnacentral:rRNA from 1 species